AUACGUAGGGUGCGAGCGUUGUCCGGAAUUACUGGGCGUAAAAAGCUCGUAGGUGGUUUGUCGCGUCGUCUGUGAAAUUCCGGGGCUUGACUCCGGGCGUGCAGGCGAUACGGGCAUAACUUGAGUACUGUAGGGGAGACUGGAAUUCCUGGUGUAGCGGUGAAAUGCGCAGAUAUCAGGAGGAACACCGGUGGCGAAGGCGGGUCUCUGGGCAGUAACUGACGCUGAGGAGCGAAAGCAUGGGUAGCGAACAGGAUUAGAUACCCUGGUAGUCCAUGCCGUAAACGGUGGGCGCUAGGUGUAGGGGUCUUCCACGACUUCUGUGCCGUAGCUAACGCAUUAAGCGCCCCGCCUGGGGAGUACGGCCGCAAGGCUAAAACUCAAAUGAAUUGGCGGGG
rnacentral:rRNA from 1 species